rnacentral:lncRNA from 1 species
UAUAAGUUCCCAUGAGUUUAAUUAACAUCUGUAAGCCUAUGACUCCUAGAUCUAUAUUCAGGCCAGGUCUCUUUUCUGAGCUAUGGUCUUGCUUCUCCAACUGCCCUUUAGACAUGUUGAACUUCAUUUGGCAGAUGCCUCUCAAACUCAACAAGUUCAAAAUGGAAGUCAUUAUCUUUUCCCCUAAUUUCACUCUUCUAUUGAAUUUCUCUGUUAUGAAUGAGGGUGCCACCAUCUUCUCCAUCACUCAGACAAAUCCCAAGAAGAAUACAAAAAGGAGUACAUCCUCAAUAUCCAGGUCUACUGAUGCAUUUACUUGCCCUGACAAACAGCAGGAUCAAUCAUAUAUUAAGACCCUGAUAUGUACUAAUAUGUAGACAGUGGACUCCCAAGAUAGAAAGAACUAAAGGCCUAAGAGAAAAGGAACAUGUUCUAUCCAUCCUCCAAACAGAGUGAGAGCCAUGGCCAAUUCUAAGGAGAAGACAAAGAGAAGAGUUGGAGAAAAGAGUUACCACACCCAAUGGGAUUCAGUAAAGGUCAUGGAGUUGAAAAUGAGUUGAAAUGCAGAAGCUGGCAAACAGAGAAAAGGCUGGAAGUAACACAAAGAGAUAAGGGCAAGCCAAGGUCAGAAAAGCCAAAGAAAUAAAGUCAAAAAUGGUAAGGCA